AAAAUUAGAGUGUUCAAAGCAGGCAGAUCCAAUUUUCUGCCACCGAAUACAUUAGCAUGGGAUAAUGGAAUAGGACCCUGUCCUCCUAUUUUCAGUUGGUUUUGGCAGCGCGAGGACUAGGGUAAUGAUUAAUAGGGAUAGUUGGGGGCAUUAAUAUUUAAUUGUCAGAGGUGAAAUUCUUGGAUUUAUGAAAGAUUAACUUCUGCGAAAGCAUCUGCCAAGGAUGUUUUCAUUAAUCAAGAACGAAAGUUAGGGGAUCGAAGACGAUCAGAUACCGUCGUAGUCUUAACCAUAAACGAUGCCGACCAGCGAUUAGGAGACGUUGAAUACAAAACACCACCAUCGGUUGCGCGGUCAUCCUUGGCGUCUCGGUUUCGGCCGGGGCGCGGGGAUGGCUUAGCCCGGUGGCACCGGUGAA
rnacentral:rRNA from 1 species